CAGAAUAUAGCCAAGAUAGCAAGGCGUCUCCCUUACACUGAGAAGUCGCCCGUGCAAACCGGGCUAUUCUGA